GCCGCUGUAGCUCAGGGGUAGAGCAAUUCACUCGUAAUGAAUAGGUCGACGGUUCAAUUCCGUCCAGCGGCUCCA
rnacentral:tRNA from 3 species